rnacentral:rRNA from 1 species
GAUGAACGCUGGCGGCGUGCCUAAUACAUGCAAGUCGAGCGAAUGGACGAGAAGCUUGCUUCUCUGAUGUUAGCGGCGGACGGGUGAGUAACACGUGGAUAACCUACCUAUAAGACUGGGAUAACUUCGGGAAACCGGAGCUAAUACCGGAUAAUAUUUUGAACCGCAUUGUUCAAAAGUGAAAGACGGUCUUGCUGUCACUUAUAGAUGGAUCCGCGCUGCAUUAGCUAGUUGGUAAGGUAACGGCUUACCAAGGCAACGAUGCAUAGCCGACCUGAGAGGGUGAUAGGCCACACUGGAACUGAGACACGGUCCAGACCCCUACGGGAGGCAGCAGUAGGGAAUCUUCCGCAAUGGGCGAAAGCCUGACGGAGCAACGCCGCGUGAGUGAUGAAGGUCUUCGGAUCGUAAAACUCUGUUAUUAGGGAAGAACAUAUGUGUAAGUAACUGUGCACAUCUUGACGGUACCUAAUCAGAAAGCCACGGCUAACUACGUG